UGGAAGUAAAAAGUCGUAACAAGGUUUCCGUCUAGCUGAACCUGCGGAAGGAUCAUUAAUGAAUUUUGAAAGGGGUUGUAGCUGGCCGUCUCUUUGGGGCGGCAUGUGCACGCCCUGAUCACUAUCCAUCUCACACACCUGUGCACACACUGUAGGUUGGCUUGUGAUUGGAGCUACAGUCUUCAUUGACUCUGCUCUGGUUGGAGGCCCUCCUAUGUAUUAUCACAAACUACUUCAGUUUAAAGAAUGUACUCUUGCGUCUAACGCAUUUAAAUACAACUUUCAGCAACGGAUCUCUUGGCUCUCGCAUCGAUGAAGAACGCAGCGAAAUGCGAUAAGUAAUGUGAAUUGCAGAAUUCAGUGAAUCAUCGAAUCUUUGAACGCACCUUGCGCUCCUUGGUAUUCCGAGGAGCAUGCCUGUUUGAGUGUCAUGGAAUUCUCAACUCUAUUUGCUUUUGUGAAUAGAGCUUGGAUUUGGAGGUUUAUUUGCUGGUACUUGUGAUCGGCUCCUCUUGAAUGCAUUAGCUUGAACCUUUGCGGAUCAGCUAUCGGUGUGAUAAUUGUCUACGCCGUUGCAAUGAAGCAUAUCAAUGGGCUCGGCUUCCAAUCGUCCUUUACUGGACAAUGACUUUGACCUUUGACCUCAAAUGCAGGUAGUGCCCAUUACCUCGCUGAACUUAAGCAUAUCAUAAGCCCGGAAGGAA
rnacentral:rRNA from 1 species